AGCGCUUCCUUUUCCGUGUGGCCGCGAGCGGGCGAUGUCUACCGCGAGUCGUCAGCCAUGCCGGCGUGGCGGCGGCGAAGACUGUGGUCCCGUAGCCGGGGUCUUCGAGGUGCAGCAAAGCCUAUGUGUUUUGAAGAUGUAUGAAGGUUGUCAUGACAGAUGUUUUCCAAAAAUUUGAAGUAGAAGAUGGCUGAGAAACAACUGGGAACUCCGCUGCAUGUAAUCAGCAUAUAGGUAGCUGUAGGUGAACAUUCAAGUCCUUUACCUGUGGUGUUUAAAAGUACUUCGCUGCCUCAAGUGUGGCACGCAACAUUUUUGGAGAGAUGAAUUGGUCAAGAAAACAGAUGAACAGUAAAAUGAUGAAAAUUAAUAUUUUAUUUGACAUUGAUAACCUCACAAUAAAUAAAUGUAGAAAAGUACAA